rnacentral:rRNA from 1 species
UACGUAGGGUGCAGGCGUUAAUCGGAAUUACUGGGCGUAAAGGGCGCGCAGGCGGCUGCUCAAGUCAGGCGUGAAAGGCCUGGGCUCAACCCGGGAAUUGCGCUUGAGACUGGGCCGGCUUGAGUGCGGGAGAGGAUGGUGGAAUUCCCAGUGUAGAGGUGAAAUUCGUAGAUAUUGGGAAGAACACCGGUGGCGAAGGCGGCCAUCUGGACCGCAACUGACGCUGAGGCGCGAAAGCGUGGGGAGCAAACAGG